rnacentral:rRNA from 1 species
GAUGAACGCUGGCGGCGUGCCUAAUACAUGCAAGUCGAGCGAACAGACGAGAGUGCUUGCACUCUCUGACGUUAGCGGCGGACGGGUGAGUAACACGUGGGUAACCUACCUAUAGGACUGGGAUAACUUCGGGAAACCGGAGCUAAUACCGGAUAAUAUUUAGCUUCGCAUGAAGCAAUAGUGAAAGACGGUUCUGCUGUCACUUAUAGAUGGACCCGCGGUGUAUUAGCUAGUUGGUGAGGUAACGGCUCACCAAGGCAACGAUACAUAGCCGACCUGAGAGGGUGAUCGGCCACACUGGGACUGAGACACGGCCCAGACUCCUACGGGAGGCAGCAGUAGGGAAUCUUCCGCAAUGGACGAAAGUCUGACGGAGCAAUGCCGCGUGAGUGAAGAAGGUUUUCGGAUCGUAAAACUCUGUUGUAAGGGAAGAACAAGUACGUUAGUAACUGAACGUACCUUGACGGUACCUUACCAGAAAGCCACGGCUAACUACGUG